UUAAACUGGCAAUGCCUUGCACACUGUUUUGGUCUGUAACGCUGCUCUUUAGUUAACUAACUCUGCUGUAACAUUUCUGUGAAGUUUACCUGCUAACGCUGCUGAUCAUCGAUCAUCUCAUAUCUUAAAACCAAGCUCGCCUGUUAACAGUCCGCAGUCACAAUGACUUUGCAGAGGAAAUAACAGUAGACUAUUUGGAGCCAUCAGCUGGGGCCUGAAUGCGCACUUCAAGCCAGAGGCUGAAGUUUUCUGUCCUGCUUGGAAACCACUCACUGCAAUGCAACACUUCACCAAGCUUUGGUGACCAGCUAUUGUGGCGUGCACGGUGCACAGGAAGCGAUGCAGUGACGUGCUCGACAGGCUCGAAUCAUUCACGAGCCGACAGCGAGGGCGCGGCCUGACGAACAUGUAAAGUAAUAUCCCGGCAGCGCAUGAGGUCAGCCGUCCCCCUUUUUUUACAGGCAACAUGAAAAGAGGUUCGAGCACCGGUCACGAGACGGGGCUGGGUUCCCUUUGUCUCAAUGCGGGUUCAUCAGUUCAGAUCAUGUAACAGGGCGAGGUGGCUGCUGCAGGACAUGUCUAAUAUACUGACGUGAUUAAAUAAUAUUGCAUGCAUUCAGUGACAUUUGCAGACACGAACAACUUCCAGGAGUGAUUGCUGCCAUGUGAAAUCUCACAUUCCCCCUAAGGUUUUUCCACCGUAUUGUGAGGAGCAACUGUUUAAAAAUGCCACUACAAGGUUAGGGUGCCAAUUAACCCCAGAUGGAUGGAGUCGCCCACACGAGAGGUGACGUGAGGUGAUUCGCCAUCACUUUGGUAUUAUUCCCAUAAUGCAAGCUGACGGUUGGGAUUUCAGAAGCAGGGGAGUGGGGGGGGGGGGCGUCCAGAGGGUUCGUGUUCAGGCCUCUUCUGUGAAUCAUGCAGCCUAGCGUGCGAUCGGCACACUGCCCUCCUCUUGACUCCCUCAUAAGCUCUGUUACAAUAACACACUUGCCUUUCACUCCGGCCCUAACCCCGAACCUCCCCCCUCCCGUCUAAAACUCCCUCCACUCACCCACCACCCUCCUCCACCAACACGCUCUGAAAAACACAGCAGGAGAACAAAAACCAGCCUUACAUCUAUAGAGUUUACUGUAAGAUAAAAAGCUGGAGGGUAUUUAUUUCGACCGCUGGCUCCCUUCAAAAACUCCAUUACUGUUGUUAGCAUAACUGUGAUGACAAAGAUAAUCUGUGUUAUUAUUAUUAUUAUUAUUAUUAUUAUUCCCAGCUUUAAUUAAUUUGUCCCCGGGGCUCGUAGCGGUAAUAAGGAGCAGACUGUUUCUAUCCCUCUCUACUUCCUCAACGCUGAAGUCCCAACCAAGAGCAAGUCAAGGUUAACAGUGCCAUCUACAGUAGAGAGGAAACUAGUCCAUCAUCUGUUUUGAUGAUACUGAUGAUAUGAGAGGUAAAGACAUGGACAUUGUCUGAGGUAUCAGCCAUAUUGUACGGACGGGGUUUUACCUAUAUUGUUUUUAGGGUGGGUUCAGCAAAAAUGGACUUCUUUUUGGCAAAUGGACCAGGAUACUACGACAACAAAUAUUCACUCAUGUUUUUUGUGAAACUGUAGGAAAAAAAUAGAUGUACAGCUAUGAUGUGUACAUCUGACGUAGAGCUCAGAAAAUAUGUUGUAAUAUUCCUAUA